GGAAGGACACAAACAGAAGAGUAAUAAGGAAAGCAAUGGUAAACGGCAGGUGCAGGGAGGCUAGAGGAGGGGCCAGAGAAGAUGGCAAGGAGACUCUCAAGGGCCAGGAAGGUGAACCAGUCUGGUCAUAAGGGUUGACCCCACGAGCUUCCCUGCCCCUCCCUAGCCCUCCUACUUUGACCUAGUUUCCAUUUCGAGGGCCUAACCUUUCCUCUCAAGGCAAGCUCUACAAAACAGUUCCCGUCACCCUCCCUCAGCUACAUGGAGCCCCUAGCUAUGUGCUUUGGAGGACAGAGGGGAAGAAAGCCAUGUGAAUGGGGACCUGCCUUCCAGGUCUCAGAGCCUUCCACUCUGUGACCUGUGUUCCCGGCCCUGCUAUGAGGAGUCAGAAGAGUUCCAGCAGAGCUAUCGAAAUGGGCAGGAAUCAGACCACACCAUGCAAAGGGUUCUUUGAAGUGACAGCACCCAUUUCUCACGUGGCCUUGGCAUAGAAAACCAGCAUCCCUGGAACUCCUGACUCUGAGCCCAUUGCACAUUGGUUUAUUUUCUCAUCAUCUUGAAGCAUCUUGAAGAAGGUCCAGGAAGGACAGGAAAGUGAGGUAGAACCAAGUUUUAAUGAUGGUGGGAAGCAGCUCCCUACAACCUGCAAGUGGACUCAAAGAGCACCCAAGUUUGGAGUCCAGAGCCUUGGUUGGUUGACUUACAGCUGCUUGUUACUCCAGCUCCGGGGUAUCUCACGAUCUGGCUUCCUCAGAUGCCUGCCUGCACUCAAGUGCAUAUACCUACACACUGAAACACACACACGUACGGUUAAAAAAGGUAAAUAACGGGGCUGGAAAGAUGGCUCAGUGGUUAAGAUC